UUUUUAUGUAUAUUACCUGUUUACUUGUACAACUUACUGUACAAAUUACAUGCAGCUUCAUUUUCAAAUGAAUCCUUAAAAUAAGGAAAUCUUUUUAGGAAAACAUUUAAUUUUUGUAUUUUUGAUUUUAAAGGCAUGAGUUAUGUCAAUUUUCAGUGUAUUAAUGAAGAUUUUAACUUUUCAUCAGGUUGAGUGUUUUCUUACUAUAUUAUCUGUUGUGUAUGUAGUUAGCAUAUUGUGUCACUGAACUGUUUAAAAAUCUAGCAUGUAGAGCAAGCCUGUUUUGUGGAAAAUCCUUAUUCAUUAAAAAAAUAAUCAUGGCAGAUUUUCUGCAAAAAAAAAAAAAAAACAAAAGCAUUUGCAAUUCAGAAUACUGAUUUUUUUAAUUUUAUUUAAAGAAAGGUAUUUUGCUUGCAGGAAAAAAAUACUACAGAUUCAUUUUAAUGAGAAUCUUUGAAAUGUAUUUAUCUUUAGGGCAUCUGGGCAUCUUUAUGCUGUUUGUCUUCUGUCUUUCUUGAAAUAAAAUGUACAUACGUUACCUUUACAUAUGCUCUUGCUCAAAAUUGUGAACCUAGUUAUAUUUCUCCCUGCUCCCUUCCUUUUUAUGCUCAAACAGCGAAACCCAAAAGUUAAAAGAUCUGAACUUUCAGCAUGCAUUCUGAUUGCUGAAAGAUUUCCUGAUUUAGUGCAUUCUCAAAAGGGCUUUCCCAUAAUCUAAAGGGAAAUGUAAGCACCUAUACUCUUCUGCCUGUGGGCACUUCAAUAAUAAAAACCAACUUUUUAAACUAAUCGUCUUUUAUCAAUGAUAAAGUUGUUUUCAGUCCCACACUAGGAGAGUUCCUUUAAGUCAGCUGAUCAAGCAUAAGAUACUUCCGUAAAGAAAUAAACUAAGAAAAUUUUAUAUGGCUUGAGAAAAUUUCUUGAGGCCAAAUUAAUAUAUUUUUUCUUCGUUAUUUUAUUUGAGUCAUUUUAAAUUUGUUAAUACAAAAUUUAAGAUAAUUUACAGAGACAAUUUAGCCAGCUUCCUUCUACCUUAAUACAAUGUUUUGUCUUCCCGUUAUCCUCUCUUUUCUUUAUCUGUUGGUAGAGGUAAAAAACUUCCAUUUAGUUAAUCGGAGGUGUAUAUUUUUUAAAUUGAAAUAUGCCCAGUCCCUUCAGCUCACACAGGAAACAUGAACUCUUAAAAAACUGACUAGUAAAUGCAGGAAAGGUGGAUACCUGAUGAGACACAGCGAAAGUGACCUGUAUACACAUUACAACUCUGGAGUACAUAUUAAAGUCGUGCUAUUUCCAGUGGUAAAUGUCUGACUUUUAAGACAUUCUUUUAAAUAUUUGUAUCAUUGUUAGGAUGUUUUAAUUAGUUGUUUUUUAAUUCCAUGUAAUAUAUGUAGCCCUCAUCAGAUUUAUAUCACCAUAUUUCUCCUUGUGUCCUAAGAGAAUUGAUGACAAUUCGUAACCAUAAAUUGUUUUAUAUUAGCUAGUAUGUAUAUUUAUUUUUACCCAAUGGCUUUAUCUGUUUCCCAAAAUUUGUUUGGGAUUUGUUGAAAGCAUUGUGUAACUUCUAUAAACGGCUAUUUUCUUGUAACUGUCAGUGAAAUGAAUGUGU
ensembl:lncRNA